AACGCGCUUGAAUUUGAGCCCACACGGCAUGUAAUUUUUCGGUGUGAACAUCGCCUGCAGUCGAGAGUUGCCGAACGUUGACAUACGACGGAGCGUCGAAGAAAGUCGAAGAUUAACGAACCAGUCUCCUGCCGACCGUCGCCGAUCGCUAACGUUCGUUUGGCUGCUUCUUCUGGACACCGGGAUAUAAUAUUUUGCGUAGCUUCGAGGUACGAGGGUCUACAAGUACAAGGAUGGAAGAAUUUUCGCAUGGCGGACAUUAAAAGAGGGCGCCGAAAGUUGCGGAAAAUUUGACGAAAAAGAAGCGGAAAUGGUGUUCGACUCGUCGGUGAAAAGCAGCCACUUAUGAGAGACUGAAAUCCUUGGAGAAGUUUCCCCGAGGGCAUCGAGGAGGGAGAGCCUGGUCUUCUCACUUCCGUCGAGGUGAAGUCGAUCGACGUGUCCGUUUCCAAAGUCCUUGCCCGAGGUACUCUGUGGACUUGGAAAGAAGCAGCCUGUAAGGAAUGCGGGUCUGAUCGUAAGGGAAUGGUUCCCGACAACUUCCGUCGAAGCACAAUCCUCUACCAGCGAAAAGGAAGCGAGAAAUACCUUAAAACUGGUAACAACCGACGAGAAUACGGAGACAUCUAAAAUUCCAUGUGAAAAGCAACGAGAAAACUUGAGAGAGCGGAUGUUCCUUUUUCCGUGCAACGGAGAAAAGUUCCUUCGAGACUCACCAUCGGCCGAGGGUCGCGACACGGAGGGACGUUCACGGUCGCCUGGCUGUCCGAAGUUCAAGGAACGUCCACGGUGCACCGAGCGAUGGAGAAAACUCGUCUUCCGUCACUUCACAAAGCCGUGCCACCCCGGAAGCGGUAAUCUCGUGGUCGCGGUUCGCGGCGAGCUCGAGGAUCGUGCCGUUCGGCCAAACGCGUAUACGAUGGAGUGCGUCGCGACGCCGCGUGCCGACUGAAGCCGUCGUUUUUCCUUCUGGAGCCACGGAAUCGCGUGGAGGGGGUCGGGGAUUGCCUCGACCAACUCCGACUGGACUUGCCAACAAACCCACCGCAGGAGCGUCCUGCGACGCUCUAAUUCCACGUCCUUAAUCCAGCAGAUUAGAUCCGACAAACUACAGCGAACGAAAAGCCGACAGAAAAAAGGAAACAGGAACCAGCAGCCAGGGGGACGAAGCGAGAAUACAUGAGCCACCCUUCGACAUCCCCUAACCUCAAGCUACACCAACGUCGCCGAGCGUGUCAUCCGGCUCGUCGUCAGCUGCUUUUUGCCAAACCACGGAACACCGUUCUCGACUUUCGCCACGGGGUAGGUUGAAAAGCCGCGGCUCCGUCGCAUUGUGCGCCGUCGAAGCGGGAAACGUUGCGCCCUUCGUCGACAGUGCAGUCGACGAUCGAUCGGGUGCACCGUGGUCCGCGUGAGACGAGGACAACGCGCGACAGGGUGUCGUCGGACAAACAAAGACGGAGGACACGCCGGCAGAAGAGGCGAGGGAACGAACGGACAGAAUACCGGUCGUAAAUUUUCGGGGCUGGGUUCACGGGCUGGCGAAGGUCAAGUGCUUGGCCAUGGAUACGAGUUACCGGAGGAUGAUCCGGAGGCCACUGGACCGGCGUGCUUGACUCGUUCUCCAGAAAAUCGCGCACGGUCUUCGUGUAAUGUCGCGAAUGGCACUGGCGGCAUUACGCCCGCGGAAAAAUUUUGCGGGAUGAUGUCGCGGGGUGUCUGGAGGCUAGGGAAGAUUGUGGUUGAAAUUGGAAAGGGUUGAAAAAGAACGCGAUCGGAAGCUGUCUUUUGGAGACCUACCCCGUGGGGUUGCGAGCUCCGAGCGUUGAACUUUGGCGACAGACGAUGCGGGGCUCGCGGUUCCCUUUGAUUCCGCCCUUCGUGGCCUGGGGACCCUGGAGAAAAUUAUUCUAGCAUUCUCUCCGAUCGUGCGAGUCGUACAGGCGACGCAUUGAAUUUUUCUUUAAAUUUUUAUUUCGGUUAGACCUCAUUUAGAUAC